UCAAUAUAAAUUGAUUAAUAAUUAUUUAUUAAUUUUUUUUAAUGUUUAUUUAAUUUAUUAAAAAUAAUUAUAUAAUGAGUUGUUUUAGUAUUUUAUAAGAAUAAAUAAUUUUAAUAAUAGUUUAUUAGUAUUGUGAAAGAAAAUUGAAAUAAUAUGAAAAAAUUUUUAUGAAAAAAAGAAAAUUUAAUUUAUUGUACCUUGUGUAUCAGGGUUUAUUAAUUAAAAAAUAAUUAAUAUAUUUUUCUCGAUUUUAAAAGAGUUAAUAAUUUAUAAAAGUUAAUGUAGUAAAAUUAUUUUUAAUAAAUUAUUAGAAAUGAAAUGUUAUUCGUUUUUAAAGGUAUCUAGUUUUUUCAGAAAUAAAUUUAAUUUAGAAAUUAUAAAUUUAUUUAAUUAAUUUUUUAAUUAAAUAAAUUAAUAAUUUUAAUAUUUUAUGGGAUAAGCUGUAAAAUAAAUUUUUAAAAAUAUUAAAUAAUUAAAUAAAAAUGUAUAUUUAAAAUUAAUAGUCAUUUUUAAGUUUGUUAUAAAUUAUUAUUUAAUUUAAAUUAUUUAUUAAAUUUUAAUUAUUUAUGAAAAUAUUUAUUUUAAUUUUAAAAAUAAAUUAAUAAUGAUAAAAUUAGUAUAUUUUUUGUAUAAAUAAGUUUAUUUGAAAAGUUUAAAUAAAGAAUUCGGCAAAAUAAAAUGCUCGCCUGUUUAACAAAAACAUGUCUUUUAGUAAUUAAUUUAAAGUCUAACCUGCCCACUGAAUAAUUUAAAUGGCCGCAGUAUAUUAACUGUGCAAAGGUAGCAUAAUCAUUAGUCUUUUAAUUGAAGGCUGGAAUGAAUGGUUGGACGAAGUAUAAUCUGUUUCAUUUGAAUUUAUAAUAGAAUUUUAUUUUUUAGUCAAAAAGCUAAAAUUUUUUUAAAAGACGAGAAGACCCUAUAAAUCUUUAUAUUUUUAUUUAUUUUAAUUUUAUAGAUUAUUUUUAUUAUAAUAAGUAAAAAUAUUUUAUUGGGGUGAUAUUAAAAUUUAGUAAACUUUUAAUUUUAAAAAAUCAUUAAUUUAUGAUUAAUUGACCCGUUAUUAACGAUUAAAAAUUUAAGUUACUUUAGGGAUAACAGCGUAAUUUUUUUGGAGAGUUCAUAUCGAUAAAAAAGAUUGCGACCUCGAUGUUGGAUUAAGAGAUACAUUUAGGUGUAGCCGCUUAAAUUUUAAGUCUGUUCGACUUU
rnacentral:rRNA from 1 species